UUCCUCUUAGAUCUUAACUGCCUUAUAAUGUAAGGAGGGAGAGAGAGACCAUCCCUUUUACCUUCAAGAUGAAUGCAAACAUUCCAUUGGCAAACACUUCACAUACUAAGAAAUCCUGUAAAAAGAAACCAGGAAUGGGAUACUAUGCGGCAGCAGGAGUAUUAUUGGCACAGAAAUGGAAGCAGGAAGAACUACCGAUGAAAGAGGAGUGGCAGAUGAAACUAAUGGACUAUGCAGAACUGGAUAAGAUGACGGAGAAUUCGAAACUGGGCCCUGAUCAAGAGCAUGCGAUGAAUCCUGCUUCCUCCUCCUGAGUACGACAUGAAUGAGAGACCUCAUGCUGCCAGGAUUAUUUCGAUGGAUAGAAUAUUCAGAUUCUGUUCAGUAACUUUUAUGACUGGUGAUUAUCCCAUUCUGAUUCUUCUCACAAGCAGCAAACGGGAUCUCAGUAUGCUUUCUGGCUUGUUUAGAGACUCAUGGAAAUGUUUAAAAGUGAGAGUCAAGAGGAAAUUGAACUUUGCCAUCAUAUCCGAAAGAAGACUCAAGAGAAAAUGAUUAUGGGUCAACAGGUUGUAUUUAUUAAAUACAGUAGAAUUAGAGGAUUUGCAAGCAAACCUAAUCAGCUAGAUUAACCAAAUCAAAUUCAUCGAGAUGGGUAAAUUGUAAUAAAGGGAAUAAAUUCUAUUCCCCUAUCUCCUGAGUAUUUUUACAGCAUUGGGAAGAAUUAUUCCUCCCUGCUGCAUGCAUCUUUGGUCCCACCAGGUAGUAUUCACCCCAGUGUGCCUGCCUAGCCAAACGGUGCCCUCAAGUCCUCCCCAAGGCAAAAACAACCCAAUGGUGCCUCAGGUAAUGAAGCAACCAUUUCUUAAAUACUCACACCUGCCCAGAAUAAUUGGACCAAAUUAAGAAAACAUUAUUCCAGUCACACAGAUGACACUCAACAGUGUGAAGGAAGAAAAAGAAAAGAGGGGGGGUGGAAAUAGUCCCAAGAGCCAAUCAGGGGCUCCACCUCAAAAUUCCUACUCAGUCCCCAAAAGAGUGACUAGCAAAGUCCACACUGUAAAGGUAGGAGGCACUGAAAGAAGAGGCAAUAGUCGCUCAAAUUCACCAUUUAAUUAAAUAAAAAUAAAUAGCCUUGUGGUAGGGAUUAAGUUAAAGCUAUGGUUUUCCCAGUAGUGAUGUAUGGAAGUGAGAGCUGGACCAUAAAGAAGGCUGAUCACCGAAGGAUUGAUGCUUUUGAAUUAUGGUGCUGGAGGAUACUCUUGAGAGUCCCAUGGACUGCAAGAAGAUCAAACCUAUCCAUUCUGAAGGAAAUCAGCCCUGAGUGCUCACUGGAAGGACAGAUCGUGAAGCUGAGGCUCCAGUACUUUGGCCACCUCAUGAGAAGAGAGGACUCCCUGGAAAAGACCCUGAUGUUGGGAAAGAUUGAGGGCACUAGGAGAAGGGGACG